rnacentral:rRNA from 1 species
UACGUAGGGGCCUAGCGUUGUCCGGAAUUAUUGGGCGUAAAGAGCUCGUAGGCGGUUCGGCAAGUCGGAUGUGAAAUCUCCACGCUUAACGUGGAGGGGCCAUUCGAAACUGCUGUGACUCGAGUCCGGUAGGGGAGUGUGGAAUUCCCGGUGUAGCGGUGAAAUGCGCAGAUAUCGGGAGGAACACCAGUGCGAAGGCGG